GGGGAGGGGCUGUUACUCACACGCGCCGGUCUGGGUUCAGAUCAAUUCUGUUCUCUGGUCUCCUGAGACCCUUGAUUUAUAGGGUCCCCGCGGAUAGAAGCUUUCCCCCCCAUCAGCGGGUUUCCACUGAACCAGCAGCAGGAGUCCUGGAUGAUCCCCCAGUUGCGCAGCCCCUCCCCCGCUCCUUCCCGACCUGCACAGCAGCGAUCUCAGACUCUAGGAGAGGGAGUGAUGUUCUCUCCUACCGUUCCAGUGCCUCCAAGGCUAGCUUCUAAAACCCUUGAGAAGUUCCUGAGUGAUGAGGAUGAUAGGAGCAUCUUCGAUUAUUCGCAACAAGCCCCUUUCAACCAUACCUGGGUUUAUGCUAAUAAGGUAACUCUAGGAAAGUGAGCUCAGAGAGAGUUACAGUUUAUUUCCAUCAAAAGCUCAAUGAGAAUUUGCAAGAUAAAAGGCCAGUGCUUAUUAAUGACUGAGAGAGUAAUUUAAAGCAACAUGAUGAUCCCGCGGACAUGCUCCAGAUACAGCCCAGCUCAUCUGAAUUCAGCAUGGCUGAAACAACAAGGUCUAGCUGGCAGUUAAAAAGCCUCCAGUUUUAUUCCCCUGAAAGGCUUUUCAGAGGCUGACCCUGCCAACUUAUACUAAUGUGUUCAAUCCUACACAUCAUUCAGGUAGCAGCCUCUUAAACACAAGCAGGCUAGAGUCUGUCAUUAACUUCCGAAUUCUCUCUACUUCCAUCUUGACUUGGCCACACAGACUACAGGAGAGGUAGAUCCAGAGAGACACUGUUCUAGAGGAUGUUGAUGCUCUCACACAAAUAUCUGCCCUUCUUGGAGGAUGAUACAUCUGGAGAUGGAGAUCAAAAAGAUAGCUGAGGCAGUGCCACCUGGCCGGUGAGGCUAUAUCCUUUAUCACAUCACAAAUCAUCCUAAAUUAUUUACCAGUUGCUUUUCCUACCAGACUGCACCAGUUCUGGAGCCAGACCCUCUGGGUUAGAGCCCGGCUUCAUCACUCUUGGGCAAGUCACUUAUCCUCUCUCUAACUCAGUUUCCACAUCUGUAACAUGAACACAAUGCUCACCUCCUGGGGUUGUUGUAACGAUUAACUGAACCAAUUCUUAUAGAACAAAGUCUAUCAAAUACUUGGGGAUGAUGGUGGUGGUGUUGAAAGGGAUCAGAUCUUUGUGUCUGUACUCCCAAUGACUCACCAAGUGCUUAACCCACAGGAGAGACUUGAAAACCAUGCUAAUUUUGUAGCCUUGGGCAAGGCAUUUAAACUCUCUGAGCAGAAAAGAAACUUGUGGUGGGGAUGCGUAGGAGAGAGAGAGCACACACAGAUGAAACAAGAUAGGCAAAUAUCAGCAAUUCUUGAGUCUGGGUUUCAUGGGGUUUCAUUACACUAUUUUCUCAAUUCUUAUGUAUGUUUAAAUAUCCAACAGUAAAAUUUAAGUGAAA
rnacentral:lncRNA from 1 species